rnacentral:lncRNA from 1 species
AUGGAGAAUGAUCAGCAUUGCAAAGACAGCAUGACCACAUUCUCAAUGCGGAAGUGGGUCCCACCAGGCAGUCAGACAGGCUCCCUCUACUGCUCCAAGCAGGUUCCGGGAAGUUAUUCAGCGUCCCGCCCCCUGGUCUGCAAGACAGUGCCGAGGGCGGAAACGCCCAGUAUCUGUGUGUGCAGGCCACAGAAACAUGAAUUGCUGCAUCGUCCUUCUAAAGCUGCUGCUUCCUCUUUAAGAAGCCACUGACAUUUGAACUUCUCGAACGUCGCUGACUUCCCACUUUGAUCUCAGUCCAAGUCAGCUGGAGAGCAGGUUAGUCAUCCCUCCUCUGAGGUCACUGAGGAUGUUUACUAAUGCUGGAGCAUGCCUCAGGAACUAUUCACACACAUGGAUUGGUAGGGUUUCUGGCUGAAUUUAAAUUUUGUCUUUAUGUUAUAUUGUUUGUUGUGAACCAAGCAAAGCCAAACUCAAGACUUUAUGUGCCUGGCACAAAGGCACAGUUUGUAGCCAGACUGCAUGUCUGAGAGUCUGGGCGCAGACUGCAUGUCUGGAGUCAUGUCUGACUCUGCAUUUUAGGAAGUAACAGGGGCAGUG